GGCGGACGGGUGAGUAAUGCAUCGGAACGUGCCCAAUCGUGGGGGAUAACGCAGCGAAAGCUGUGCUAAUACCGCAUACGAUCUACGGAUGAAAGCGGGGGACCUUCGGGCCUCGCGCGAAUGGAGCGGCCGAUGUUAGAUUAGGUAGUUGGUGGGGUAAAGGCUCACCAAGCCGACGAUCUAUAGCUGGUCUGAGAGGACGACCAGCCACACUGGAACUGAGACACGGUCCAGACUCCUACGGGAGGCAGCAGUGGGGAAUUUUGGACAAUGGGCGAAAGCCUGAUCCAGCAGUACCGCGUGCAGGAAGAAGGCCUUCGGGUUGUAAACUGCUUUUGUACGGAACGAAAAGGCUCUUUCUAAUAAAGAGGGCUCAUGACGGUACCGUAAGAAUAAGCACCGGCUAACUACGUGCCAGCAGCCGCGGUAAUACGUAGGGUGCGAGCGUUAAUCGGAAUUACUGGGCGUAAAGCGUGC
rnacentral:rRNA from 1 species